ensembl:misc_RNA Y_RNA Y RNA
GGUUGGUCCAAGUGCAGUGGUGUUUACAACUAAUUGAUCACAAUCAGUUACAAAUUCCUUUGUUCCUUUUCCACUCCCACUGCUUCACUUGACAAGCCUUUA